rnacentral:lncRNA from 1 species
AGGAAGGCAAGGCAAAACAGGGGAAAUUAACCCAAAGCUUGAACAAAAGGUGACUAAUGGCAAAAGAAAUCGAAUCACAGGCAUCGAAUCCUUCUGGUAAAUGCAAUACAUACACUUACACACGAAGGGAUUCAACCCUAUGCAGAGAAUUGAGUACCAUCAUCAAGUUUUGAGGCAGCUGCCUUGUACAAAAACCACACCAACUUCCCUUUCAGUGGCUGGAGCAUCGAACCUUGAACUUGACAGCAUCCUUGGUUCUUUCAGACCUUUCGUCGAACACUUGGUGUGCAGCCAAGGGGUCUCACCAGCAGCUCCAAUGAGUCUCUAAGGUUGUUUCCAUGGCUUCCAAGGGGUCGUGCGACCCCAUUGACCCAACUGUGGAUCCGCCACUGCUCAGAUUCAAUGGACUGCGUACUCUUAAUUUGUUAGGCCGUAUGUUUGAAAAUUGAAAGUGCUUCCUUAGGAAGGACUUAUGCUAGAACCACGUUGAAACUUUUAGUGAAAAUGCAAGUGCUUUUCUAGAAUUGUCCGAAAAACUGCACAAGUGACAUGGUGAAUGUUAGAAAGGCUUCCCCUUCGAAACUCAAGAUUAUGCAUGAAGGUUCAAAAUCACUAGAAAAAGUGUUCACUUGCCUGCAUUAAGGCCAUACUAACCUAUUAUGCCUCUGCUUUUAUUGCCGAAAGUAACAUGAAGGGUCAAUUGGACGCUUGCUACAAGAUGUGCAGCUCAUUAAGGCCAUACUAACCUAUUAGUUAGAUGUUUCUAUUUUAACUUCGCCAUCUCGAAUAAGAGAAAAUGUUAAGAGAGAAUGCACUCCCAAACAUUGUUGGCUGGAUUUCGAAUUGAAUAAGAAGUUAUACUUUAUUUGACUAAUUUCCGUAAAAGAAAAAAAGCUAGUACUAGUAAGCGUUUUUAUAAAUCCAGAUCCACUUUUAAUGUUUUCGGCCAAAUGGUGUCAAAAGAGUUUUUGAUUAUCUGAAAGAGGUUUUGAACUGCCAAGAAAGCCCAUAGUCUUUGAUGCUGUGUUAAAGUUGCAAAUGCAGGCAGUGAAUCGUCAUCUGGACAUAUUGAGACCCGCCAUAAAGAACUUUGGCGGGAGUGUGGAAGUGUUAUCGGUUGAAGGUGGGGAUUGCCAUGUUAAUUAUGUGGGAACCGAGUCCAUCGGAUCAGGAAUCAAAGCAGCAAUUAAGGAGAAGUUCCCAGAUAUCGGCAAUGUUGUGUUCACCGGAUAGCUUUGUACUUCCAUGGAGAUGUCUUCCGAUGUAAUUGCAUACGACGACUCUAAUUCCAAAUGGUUAGCUGCUUUCUCUAUCAACUUCCAAUUUGUGUAUGUAGUUGAACAAGUGAUUUGUUAUCGUUGCUUGUACAAUGAAUUGGUGUAAUUAACCAUUGAUACUUGAUGAAUUCCAACUUUGUUCUUGUAAGCCGUGAACACUUC